GAUGCGUACAGCCCAGAGCCUGAAGCAGAUUUCACAGCCUCAGAGGUGGCACAGGCUGACUCAAAACCCGGGGCAGAAAGGGACCAACCCAGAAACAGUGACCCAGAAUCACAGGGAAAUAGAAAUGGGAGUCAGCACAACGAAGCCCCUCCUUGACCCCAUGCUCCUUAUCCACAGGGUCGCAGGAGUUAGUUGCUCAGGCGGUUCAAAGGUCUUGACGGUGAACACCAUCCACAGGGAUUCCCGAGGCGGUGAUGCCAUCAAAGCCUUAAUUCUGAGCUGGGCCUGCUCGGGUGCGGACUCUGCCGCAGGGAGAGAAGGGUUAAUCGCCCCGGGCCUUCGCCGUGGGGGCGGGGCUUCGGGGAGGGUCACAGCCCGGUGCGGAGACCCGAGGUUAACCGCCCGGGGUGGGCUGAAGGGGCGAGGCCAUACAGGGGCGCGGCCUCGGGCUGCACAACCCGGGGCGGCGAUGAGAGGGUUAACGCCCCGGAGGGCCCUGGCGGGGCGGGGCCGCGGGGUGAGCGCGGCCCGAGAGAAGUGCUGGGGGCGGAAGCGGCAGGCGGUCUGCGCCCUGCGCGCCUCGGCUUCUUUCCGCCCGGCUCUUCCAGAGGCCCGGCGACUUCCUGGGCUGGGAAGCCAACCGAGGUUCGGGGGCAGCGGCGAGGGCUCGGGGCGAGCCAAUCUCAAACUGGAGCUCAACUUUUAGAAGAGAGACGCCCCAGCAAGCCUCUUUCGGGGAGUCCUAUAGCUCCUCACCUCCAUGGGCGAGACAGCCCUGGCGGGGGGCAGCAGCAGCACCCCCACCCACGGGCCCUGUACCCUGACAUCUCCUGUCCCGAGGGCUUGGAAGAGCUGCUGUCUGCACACCGUCCUGACCGGGGGCCCAACGACGCCACGGUUGGAACCCCAUAGACUCUUCAGAGAACAUCGAGGUCAAGGAAGGAGGGUUGUACUUUGAGCGGAGGCCCGUGUCCCAGAGCACUGAUUGUGUCCGGGGUAAGAGGGGCUAUUCAAGAGGCCUGCACGCCUGGGAGAUCAGCUGGCCCCUUAAGCAGAGGGGCCCGUAGGCCGUGGUGGGCGUCGCCACGGCCCGCGCCCCGCUGCAGACUAAGCACUACGCGGCGCUGCUGGGCAGCAACAGCGAGUCGUGGGGCUGGGACAUCGGGCGGGGAAAGCUGUACCAUCAGAGCAAGGGGCCCGGAGCGCCCCAGUAUCCAGCGGGAACUCAGGGUGAGCAGCUGGAGGUGCCAGAGAGGCUGCUGGUGGUUCUGGACAUGGAGGAGGGAACUCUGGGCUACGCUAUUGGGAGCACCUACCUGGGGACAGCCUUCCGCGGACUGAAGGGCAGGACCCUCUAUCCGGCAGUAAGCGCUGUCUGGGGCCAGUGCCAGGUCCGCAUCCGCUACCUGGGCGAAAGGAGAGCGGAGCCACACUGUCUUCUGCACCUGAGCCGCCUGUGUGUGCGCCACACCCUGGGGGAUACCCGGCUCGGCCAGGUAUCUGCCCUGCCCUUGCCCCCCGCCAUGAAGUGCUACCUGCUCUACCAGUGAGCCCUGUGAUACCACGGACUGUGCUGAGGCCUUGCCACCACCCCUCCCCUUGGGGAGGUGGGGAGGCACUGCUGGCCUAGACCAGCUAUUGAAAGCUGGUGAGGCUGGGCCCCUACCCCAACCCAAGCUCUGAGGAAAUCAGCCCCAGAGCCACUCAGAGGAAGAGAGGGAGCUGGCAUUCAAGGCUAUGACAGUUUGCUACGCAAAACGUUUUUUUCUAGUAAAAACAGUAAGAGGUACUAUUAUAAAA